UGGGGUGUAGCCAAGUGGUAAGGCAACGGGUUUUGGCUCUGUCAUACGUAGGUUCGAAUCCUCCCACCUCAG
rnacentral:tRNA from 1 species